rnacentral:rRNA from 1 species
GGUCAAGCAAGGGGAGCGCGGAGAGACAAGUCUAAAUCUCGAGCGGGACCAGAACCAGCAGCAGCAGUGGUGCCGGUGGGAGGUGGAGUCGCGGACUCUUCUGCAGCUCCUCGAGGCGGGAGCGGCUUCCCGAGCUCGAUCCUGUGGAUCAUGCGAGCCGUAGCCCGUGUAGAAGUAGCCAUGUAGCGGCCGCAGGUCGCAGCAAACGGUGCCGAGUCCAGGCAGGGGCCGGAGGGGCUGGAGUAGUAGGUUGAGCGCUGGGGCUCUGGCUACAACGGGAACACUAGCUGAAGUGUCGCCUGUUGUGACGGAAACGGUGGCUCGUUGGUCCGUUCGGGGGGGAAACCAGUAGGGCUAUAGCAGGUAAAGGAAAGAGAGUACGAACGUAAUAUAAAACGAUGAUAUUAACAA